rnacentral:rRNA from 4 species
GGGUUGUGAGGUUAAGCGACUAAGCGUACACGGUGGAUGCCCUGGCAGUCAGAGGCGAUGAAGGGCGUGCUAAUCUGCGAUAAGCGCCGGUAAGGUGAUAUGAACCGUUAUAACCGGCGAUACCCGAAUGGGGAAACCCAGUGUGACUCGUCACACUAUCAUUAACUGAAUCCAUAGGUUAAUGAGGCGAACCGGGGGAACUGAAACAUCUAAGUACCCCGAGGAAAAGAAAUCAACCGAGAUUCCCCCAGUAGCGGCGAGCGAACGGGGAGGAGCCCAGAGCCUGAAUCAGCAUGUGUGUUAGUGGAAGCGUCUGGAAAGGCGCGCGAUACAGGGUGACAGCCCCGUACACAAAAGCGCAUGUGCUGUGAGCUCGAUGAGUAGGGCGGGACACGUGGUAUCCUGUCUGAAUAUGGGGGGACCAUCCUCCAAGGCUAAAUACUCCUGACUGACCGAUAGUGAACCAGUACCGUGAGGGAAAGGCGAAAAGAACCCCGGCGAGGGGAGUGAAAAAGAACCUGAAACCGUGUACGUACAAGCAGUGGGAGCACAGGUUUACCUGUGUGACUGCGUACCUUUUGUAUAAUGGGUCAGCGACUUAUAUUCUGUAGCAAGGUUAACCGAAUAGGGGAGCCGGAGGGAAACCGAGUCUUAAUUGGGCGUUAAGUUGCAGGGUAUAGACCCGAAACCCGGUGAUCUAGCCAUGGGCAGGUUGAAGGUUGGGUAACACUAACUGGAGGACCGAACCGACUAAUGUUGAAAAAUUAGCGGAUGACCUGUGGCUGGGGGUGAAAGGCCAAUCAAACCGGGAGAUAGCUGGUUCUCCCCGAAAGCUAUUUAGGUAGCGCCUCGUGAAUUCAUCUCCGGGGGUAGAGCACUGUUUCGGCUAGGGGGCCAUCCCGGCUUACCAACCCGAUGCAAACUGCGAAUACCGGAGAAUGUUAUCACGGGAGACACACGGCGGGUGCUAACGUCCGUCGUGAAGAGGGAAACAACCCAGACCGCCAGCUAAGGUCCCAAAGUCAUGGUUAAGUGGGAAACGAUGUGGGAAGGCCCAGACAGCCAGGAUGUUGGCUUAGAAGCAGCCAUCAUUUAAAGAAAGCGUAAUAGCUCACUGGUCGAGUCGGCCUGCGCGGAAGAUGUAACGGGGCUAAACCAUGCACCGAAGCUGCGGCAGCGACGCUGAUGCGUUGUUGGGUAGGGGAGCGUUCUGUAAGCCUGCGAAGGUGGCCUGUGAGGGUUGCUGGAGGUAUCAGAAGUGCGAAUGCUGACAUAAGUAACGAUAAAGCGGGUGAAAAGCCCGCUCGCCGGAAGACCAAGGGUUCCUGUCCAACGUUAAUCGGGGCAGGGUGAGUCGACCCCUAAGGCGAGGCCGAAAGGCGUAGUCGAUGGGAAACGGGUUAAUAUUCCCGUACUUGGUGUUACUGCGAAGGGGGGACGGAGAAGGCUAUGUUGGCCGGGCGACGGUUGUCCCGGUUUAAGCGUGUAGGUGUGUGUUCCAGGUAAAUCCGGUUCACUUUAACACUGAGGCGUGAUGACGAGGCACUACGGUGCUGAAGCAACAAAUGCCCUGCUUCCAGGAAAAGCCUCUAAGCAUCAGGUAACAUCAAAUCGUACCCCAAACCGACACAGGUGGUCAGGUAGAGAAUACCAAGGCGCUUGAGAGAACUCGGGUGAAGGAACUAGGCAAAAUGGUGCCGUAACUUCGGGAGAAGGCACGCUGACACGUAGGUGAAGUGAUUUACUCACGGAGCUGAAGUCAGUCGAAGAUACCAGCUGGCUGCAACUGUUUAUUAAAAACACAGCACUGUGCAAACACGAAAGUGGACGUAUACGGUGUGACGCCUGCCCGGUGCCGGAAGGUUAAUUGAUGGGGUCAGCGCAAGCGAAGCUCCUGAUCGAAGCCCCGGUAAACGGCGGCCGUAACUAUAACGGUCCUAAGGUAGCGAAAUUCCUUGUCGGGUAAGUUCCGACCUGCACGAAUGGCGUAAUGAUGGCCAGGCUGUCUCCACCCGAGACUCAGUGAAAUUGAACUCGCUGUGAAGAUGCAGUGUACCCGCGGCAAGACGGAAAGACCCCGUGAACCUUUACUAUAGCUUGACACUGAACAUUGAGCCUUGAUGUGUAGGAUAGGUGGGAGGCUUUGAAGUGUGGACGCCAGUCUGCAUGGAGCCGACCUUGAAAUACCACCCUUUAAUGUUUGAUGUUCUAACGUGGACCCGUGAUCCGGGUUGCGGACAGUGUCUGGUGGGUAGUUUGACUGGGGCGGUCUCCUCCUAAAGAGUAACGGAGGAGCACGAAGGUUGGCUAAUCCUGGUCGGACAUCAGGAGGUUAGUGCAAUGGCAUAAGCCAGCUUGACUGCGAGCGUGACGGCGCGAGCAGGUGCGAAAGCAGGUCAUAGUGAUCCGGUGGUUCUGAAUGGAAGGGCCAUCGCUCAACGGAUAAAAGGUACUCCGGGGAUAACAGGCUGAUACCGCCCAAGAGUUCAUAUCGACGGCGGUGUUUGGCACCUCGAUGUCGGCUCAUCACAUCCUGGGGCUGAAGUAGGUCCCAAGGGUAUGGCUGUUCGCCAUUUAAAGUGGUACGCGAGCUGGGUUUAGAACGUCGUGAGACAGUUCGGUCCCUAUCUGCCGUGGGCGCUGGAGAACUGAGGGGGGCUGCUCCUAGUACGAGAGGACCGGAGUGGACGCAUCACUGGUGUUCGGGUUGUCAUGCCAAUGGCACUGCCCGGUAGCUAAAUGCGGAAGAGAUAAGUGCUGAAAGCAUCUAAGCACGAAACUUGCCCCGAGAUGAGUUCUCCCUGAGACUUAGAGUCUCCUGAAGGAACGUUGAAGACGACGACGUUGAUAGGCCGGGUGUGUAAGCGCAGCGAUGCGUUGAGCUAACCGGUACUAAUGAACCGUGAGGCUUAACCUUACAACGCCGAAG